AGCCUGUACAUGCGCAGAGGCUUCUCAUUCUUUUGUUCAUCUUUCUGUUGUCCGUCGAUCGAUAAGCUAGUGGAUUCUUGAGAGAUUGGUUGUGUGAGAUUCGAUUUGAAUUCAUUAAUUUGUUGCUCCUGUACUCUGGUGGAUUCGCACGCACGCGUGCAUAUUUUUGUUCCAAUGCUCCUCAGGUCUGUUGCCACUAAUUAUGCGUACUAGUCAUCAGCCCGUGUGGGCUAGCAAUUCAUGCAUGCAUAGUACUCUCUUUAAUCCAAAAUAAAUGUCGUGGUUUUAGUUCAAAAAUGAACUGUCGUGGCACGACACUUAUCUUAGAUCGGAGAGAGUACUAUAUAUAUGUAAUUUCAUAAAAGAAUGAAAAUAUAGGUAGAAACCUUGAAGAAUAUUUUUUAAGUGGUUUACAUUAGAAUAUGUAGUACUUAGUUAUUCUGGUUAUCCAUGGGCCAAAAAAAGGGAACUCCAUUCUUUCUAUUGGGUUCUAAUUAGGGGGUGUUAAGUGAAUUGGAAGAAUGACGAUGUAGGACAUAUGAACGAUAGUUGGCUCUUGACAACUCUAGAAUACGAAAAAUAUGCCCCGUAAAACAUUCAUUUUCGAAUGAGUCAAUGUAGAAAAAGUUUUUCUUUUGGAACAAAAUUAGCACCUUAUGUUGAAGAGCCAUGCUGGACAUGAACGGUAGAAAUGCAAACUUUAAAAGUGGUUUUCAAUUUCUGUGUAAAUAAAUGAGUUUUUUUUAGAGAAUGUAAAUAGAUGAGUUAGUGCAGUUAAAACUUUUCAAACUUUGACAGUACUAGUUGAUAAAAAAAUCUUUAUAUUGGCAAGAUGAUAGUAGUACUAAUAAAUUGCAUUAACAUGCGCCUUCGCUAAUUCUGUCGACGAACCAUGCUGGACACUAAUGGUAAAUAUUAAAAACUCAUGUGUCAAUGUGAAUUGAAAAUGGUGAUGUUGAAUUUGCACGCUUGGUACAAUCAAAUACUAUAUACAUCUACCAUUCAUAAAUAUUUUUAUCAAAUACUAUAUACAUCUACCACUCAUAAAUAAAUGACUUCCUAAAAUGUGCAUCUGAACCUUUUCAAACUUCAUUAGUGAUUGAUAAAAAUAUGUUUAUGUUGAUAAGAUGAAAAAUCGUACCAUUAGAUUUGCCAAAAUAUUUUUAAUAAUUUUGCACUAACAUGCGCGUGCAAAACAAAUGAUCAGAGGCGCAUACCAGACAAUGUGGUCAACAUGAAAAUAUUAUCUAUCUAUCAGGAUAAACACCAUUUCAGUAAAAAAAUAAAGAAGAAAACUAAAAACAAAAUGUGAAAAAACGAGCGCUAGGUCUGCGGACUGGACGCACUGGCCGGGCCAUUGUCGCCCGUUUCAGGCGAGACCUUGUUCUGUCUUACACUAGUCGCCCCUGGGUGUCAUGUGCCAAGGUGAGCGAAAGAGUAGAUGGGCCUGCCCAUUUUAACUAGCGCAGGUGACUACAGUACCCAUGCCCAAAGUCCCCUACGGCGGCGGCCUAGGGUUUUCCAGUCCUCCGGCGAUCUUCGCCGUGAGUUCGUUGUUGCUACCUGGCUUCGGGCCACGUUCUCUCCUUGUCCCUCUCCUCUACCCGAGCUGUUCCAGGGAGUAGUCAGUAUGCUCGCCCCCGCCGCCACUAGAGGGAGUUUUGAUCUAGGGUUUCCCGUGGGGAACCUUUGACGCAGUGAUUCUUGAUGUUAUGGCGGGCAGGGAGACGACAGCACCAACCAUGGAGGGGGAGUAGACGGCACUGGCGACAUGCCGGAUCGCCUCACACUCCAGGAUGAUGAACUAGAUGAUCUUGUAUGGGAAGAUGAGAAUGACGCGGCGGAAGUCAGGCCCAAGUGGUUGGCGCUAUGCCGCCUCCUGACAUCAAAAUCCUUUAGCCAGAGCGCUUUGAUCGGGGAUAUGAAGGCUGCUUGAAAUCCGGCUCAGCCGGUGGUAUGGUGGAGGAUCAAACCAAAUUUGUUUUCUAUCCAGUUCAAUUGCUUGGUGACGGGAACAAGGGUAUGCACAAAGGACCUUGGGAUUUCAAGGGCUAUGCCCUAAUUCUCGCUGAAUAUGAUGGCUUCUCAAAGCCAGAAAAAGUAAAGUUGAACAUGUUGGAAACUUGGGCUCAGAUCCACAAGCCGCCAGACCUCGUUCUCAAAAGCAAGAGCUUCCUGGAAAAUUUAGCGCAGCGUAUAGGCGAGGUGCAAGAAGUUCAAGUUACACUUCCUAAUGGAUCUGUGGGGGAGUUCAUCAGAGUACGUGUGAAGUUGGAUGUCGGGAAAAAACUUACAAGAGUUGUACAAUUCACAAAGGCUGGCGAAACAGAGAAAUAUAGUGUGAAAUUCGAGAAGCUACCCAUCUUUUGCUAUGAAUGUGGUAUGAUGGGGCACUGGUAUGAGGAAUGUGGAACGGGGGAACACGAUGCAACAAAGUUUGAAUGGGCCCUUUUCAUCUUGGCUUCAAGGAGCAUUAGCCCUGGAGGUGGCCGAAGUCGGUCCAGCGGAGCAGGCCGAGGGGAUCCAGACAGGAACGAUCUAGGAGGAGGAAGAGGCCGGGGUCACAGAAGAAGGGGUAGCCCCUAUGAUUCGGGCAUGCACCCGCAUACAAGUGGGGCGGGAUUUGAUGAUGACAAUGACCUCCCAGCUGUUGGGGUGGUAGCUCAAAAGCAUACUCCAGUUUUGUCAGAGGGGGGGAAAGAACAUGGAAUAUGAUGGGUCAAAGAGCUGGAGACACAAUGCUCGCACUGAAACAACUUUGGAGAAGCAAGCAGAGGAUGCUACCAAUGAUCAUCAAGAAGAUUUAUUGGUUCUGGGUAAACGUACAACGGAUGACUCUAGUACAUGGCAGCCACACAAGUUGGAUCCUGUUGAUCCAAAGACAACAAUUGUUCCGUUAGGCAAUACCACGGCGAUUGAUGGCCAGUUUGAGAACACCAUUGGGGGUUUCUUCGGGUGGUGGAGGUACACCACAGAAAAAUGCCAACAAGAAGAAGCUGAAGGGAUCUGAUGGCAUAGCAGUAGAAGUGCAUACUUCAAAUGAGAAGAUGGCCUCCAUGGGUGAGGACUGCAAGGGACAAUGAGUAUCGUGUGUUGGAAUUGUCGUGGGGCGGGCAACCCUGCGACAAUUCGCGAGCUUUGUGUUCUGAUGAAGCGUUUUGCCCCCACCAUCCAAUGUAUUCUCGAAACUCAGGUUGAGGGGUCUAGGGUGGAGUUUUUACCAAAUUCCUUAGGUUUCAAUAAAAGUUUUGUUGUUAGUAGUUCUGGUAGAAGUGGUGGUUUGUGUGUUUUUUGGAAUGAUACAAUAAAGUUGGAGGUUGUUGGCUACUCUAAAUACCACACUGACGCUGAACUGGAGGAGGUUGGUAACACUCCAUUUAGGGUGGCAUUUGUGUAUGGUGAAGCCCAAGUCUAGAAUAGAUUCAAAACGUGGGACACCUUGAGGGGAAUAGCUUCGACUAGUGCAUUACCAUGGAUGGCAAUCGGAGAUUUUAACGAGGUACUUCACCUCCACGAGCAUGAUGGAGGUGGAAACCAGAGCCAGGCUCAAAUGGAUGGUUUUCGAGAUGCUUUUGAUAUUGUUGGACUGUCAGAUAUUGGAUUUAGAGGGAAUUCGUGGACUUUUGAGAAGAGAGUUGUUGGCGGUUCUUACACACGAGUACGAUUGGAUCGAUGUGUGGCGACAACAUCUUGGUCGUUGAUGUUCCCUCAAGCGGAGCUGGUGCACGAAACUGCUGCGUGUUCGGACCACGUCCCACUGCUCUUGAACCUGAGACUGCAUGCACCCAAGGCAGGACCGAAAGCAUUUAAAUAUGAAUGAGCAUGGGAGUCGCAUGAAGGAUUGCCUGCGGUGGUGGGAACUACUUGGGGACAGGACUGCGACGGGACUGUCGAGGGAGUGAAACAGCGCCAGGAGGCCCUAUCAUCCGAUCUGUCUCAUUGGGACAAGGAAGUCUUUGGGAAUGUAAAAAGGGAAAUCGGUAAACUGCAAAAAGAUCUGGCCCUGUUACAUGCAAUACCGAGACGAUUGGGACCCUCACAUGCAGAGGUGGAGAUAUGUGACAGGCUGGUAGAGUUGUUUCACCGAGAGGAACUUUUAUGGCGCCAGCGUGCACGCAUAGAAUGGCUAGCAAGCGGCGACAAGAAUACAUACUUUUUCCACAUGCGGGCAAGCCGGCGACGCCGUAAGAACCAGAUAAAAGCCCUCCAGCUCCCUGAUGGGAGGUUAACAGAUAAUAUUCAGGAGAUGGAGGAAUUUGCCACAAACUUUUACAAGGAAUUGUAUACCUUAGAACAAGUGCUAGACAUGGACCGGGUGUUGGACACAGUCCCAAUCAAGGUGACAAACAAGAUGAAUGAAUUGCUCAAUGCACCAUAUACAGAGAAGAAGGUAAAGACAACUUUAUUUCAUAUGUUUCCUACCAAGGCGCCGGGGCCAGAUGUGUACCCUGCCCAUUUUUCCAAAGACACUGGGAGGUGUGUGGCGCAGAUGUUACUAAGGCAAUCUUGAGGAUAGUUAAGGGGGAGGAAACAGCAGAUAGCAUUAAUGAAACAAUCUUGGUACUGAUCCCAAAGGUAAAUAAUCCAACAUUAUUGGCACAAUUCAAACCUAUCUCGUUAUGAAACGUCUUGUACAAGAUUGCUUCCAAAGUUAUCUCCAACAGGCUGAAGUUGGUGUUACCUGACAUAAUAUCGGAGGAACAGUCUACUUUCGUCCUAGGUAGACUCAUCUCUGAUAACAUUAUAACUGCUUAUGAAUGCCUGCAUUUCAUGAAGAGAAACACUGCUGUGAGAUAUAGAAGUGGUGCUCUCAAGCUAGAUAUGAUGAAAGCAUAUGACAGGGUGGAGUGGGAGUAUUUACAGGCAAUUAUGUUGAAACUGGGCUUCUCCGAACAAUGGGUCCAGAUUGUUAUGGGCAUGGUGAAGUCAGUAAAAAAAUUGUACUAUUUAAUGGUAAGAAGCUACAGGAGUUUCAACCUACGCGUGGUAUACGACAGGGUGAUCAAAUUUCCCCGUACCUUUUCUUGAUAGCAGCAGAGGGCCUUUCGUGCCUCCUAAAAUCUGUUGACGAGUCAUCUAACAUGAGUGGUCUUAAAGAGGCUCCCUCGGCACCACCAGUAAACCACUUAUUAUUUGUAGAUGACAGCCUGUUGUUCUUCAGGGCGAGUGCUGAUGGGGCACACGAGAUUAACCAGUUGUUGACCACAUAUUGUCAAGCGUUGGGGCAGCGAAUAAAUCAUGAGAAAUCUUUAAUUUUUUCAGCAAAGGAUGCCCGGAGAGCACUAAGGAGGAAGUCAAGUUAUUGCUGAAUGUGCCAAAUGAAACAGUUAAUGCAAAAUACUUAGGCAUGCCUACUGAAGUGGGGGCCUCCAAAAUGGAGCUUUCAAAUACUUGAAGGAUUAUUUGUGGAGUAAGGUCCAAGGGUGGAUUGAACAAACUAUAUCAAGUGCUGGAAAAGAAGUUUUGAUAAAGGAUAUAGCCCAAGCAGUCCUAGUAUAUUCUAUGUCUUGUUUCAAAUUGCCACCGGGUUUGUGUAAGCACUUAAAUAUGUUGAUAAGGAAAUUCUGGUGGGGGAGCAAGGAUGGAAAGAGAAAGACUAGUUGGGUCUCUUGGGAGACCAUGACUAAGCCUAAGGGAAUGGGCGGUCUCGGUUUUAAGGACUUUGAACUAUUCAAUCUUGCUUUGCUAGCGAAACAAGCAUGGCACAUCUUAUAGGCGCCGGAAUCUUGAGUGCAAGAAUUUUGAAGAGCAUUUACUUUCCAAUGGGUGUAUAUUAUCAACAGAACUUGGGAGUCACCCCAGCCAAAUUUGGCGCUCUAUUAUCGAGGGGCGGGACAUACUUAAACUAGGCCUGAUCAGACGUAUAGGAAAUGGUGAGACAACCAAAAUCUGGGUGGACAACUAGAUCCCCAGGGACGUGAUGAUGAGGCCGUAUGGGAGAAGAUCUGCCAAUCCCCCCGAACUUGUUUCAUCCCUGAUCGAUCACACAACAACAACAUGGAAUCGUGUGAGGCUGGAGGAAGUAUGCCUCCCGAUCGAUAUCCAGGCUAUUGUCCAAAUUCCAAUCUAUACAUCUAAUAUCCCGGAUAGCUGGGCUUGGAAUUUUGAAAGAAGUGGAAGUUUUAUAGUCAAGUUGGCCUACAGAAUGAUAGUAAACACAAAAUAUAGGAGAGGCAUAUGGAUGGAUGGAAGAGCGGGCUCCUCAAGCUCGGACAGAGACGAGCAAUCUUGGAAACUCUUGUGAGGUACUCAAGUACCAGAGAAGAUACAUAUGAUUUUGUGGAGAUUAGCAUGCCAUUCUAUCCCAACGGAAGAUGUGAGGGCAAGAGAAACAUGGCAACAGCGAGCGCUUGCAGCUUGUGUGGUGUGUAGGACUCAUGGCGACACUCGUUGCUCGAGUGCUCGAUGGCCAGAUGCGUAUGGGCAUUGGUUGAUGGGGAACUGGCGGAACACCUGUGCGAGACGACGGAGCCUAGCGCUAAGCAGUGGUUAUUCACAAUGAUAGACACGUUACCGCAUGCAGCCUUCGUGAAGCUAUCAGUAACCUUUUGGACAAUUUGAUGGGCGAGGAGGAAAGCAAUACACGAGGAAAUAUUCCAGAGUCCUACAACAACUAACAGUUUAUAUGCAGCUUUAUCAGAGAACUGGAUAUUGUAUCAGCCAAAAAGGUCAAUUUGCAGGGAGCUAACAUGGCUGGUGCAUAGCGGCCCAAGGCGCCUCCACCGGGCUUCAUGAAAAUACACGUUGAUGCAAGCAUUGCAAGAAAUCAGAACAGGGGAGCGGCCUCGGCUGUAUGUAGAGAUGCGAAUGGUAGUUAUGUUGGAAGCUCCUCUUUGGUUAUUGAGGGAGUGAGCAAUGCUGCAACUAUGGAAGCUAUUGCCUGCAGGGAGGCUCUCUCCUUAGCAGAUGACCCAAUGUUACAGAACUUCAUGGUAGCGUCUGACUUGAAGCAGAUUGUGAGUGAGAUCUAUAGCGGCUCCAAUGAUGUGUACGGGGCCAUCUUAUCAGAGAUAAAGAAUAGGGAUCUUUUGUUUAAUUGCAAUUUUACUUUCGAAGGCCGAGCGGUCAACCGCGACGCCCAUAGGUUAGCCAAAUUUUCCAAUUCUCUAGAUCAGGGGAGACAUGUUUGGUUGAUGCAACCCAAUGACCUGAUUAUAAUGCCACUUCAUGUGGAGUUUGAUCAAUAAAACUUGGUGAUACCCCUAAAAAAAAGGCUACAGUACCCGGUUUUGAAAACCUUCAAGAAAGUUCCAAAACCGGUUUUCUUUCUUUCAGGUUCUGGGUUUCCCUUUCAUUUUUCCUUUCCCCUUCUUUUUUUCAUUUUUUCUCUAUUUUAUUUUAUUUUUCAAAAUUUAUUUCUCUUUUCAAAAUUUGUUCACAUAUUUAAAAAAAAUCAUGUUUUCCAAACAUGGUCAGAAAUUUCGAAAAUUGUUUGUGUUUUAGAAAAAUAUUUAAUAUUUUCAAGAAAUGUUUUUUUUCUGAAAUGACCAAAAACUGACAAUCUACUGUGCUCUACAUGGCUGGAAGACCAUGCCGACCAUGUGUACCCAACGUGUAACAAUGUCAUGCGGAAGAUCAAAUCUGUAGGAGUCACGUGUAGUUACUCGCACUUCCAUUAGCAUUUGGGAUUUCUAACCAACCAAGAGUAUUCUAGUGUGGAACCUUUAGUUUUCUCUAGUUUUGUAAUCUUUUGUUCUCCACGGGGCUAGACAAAAAUCACUGCCUUUGACCCAUUUGAGAAAGUUCAACAAAAAAGGCUCAUGUAGAAAAUUUUAGCACGAUCUAACCCUCUUUAGCAACGCCCCAACACACUGAUUUUGCUAUUGUGCAAUGAAACGUCAAACACUAUGGCGUUGUCACCUUGAGGCAUUAACAACUACUCCCUCCGUAAACUAAUAUAAGAGCAUUUAGAUCACUAUUUUAAUUAUCUAAACGCUCUUAUAUUAGUUUACAGAGGGAGUAGCAUGCAGUGAGAGAGAACGCUUGGCGUUGCGCAUGUGAGCAACACCAAUGACAUUAGUAUUGCAUAGUGCAUCAACAACGCCAUCAACAUUAGCGUUGUAAAAAUAAGGUCAAAAUCGUGUUAAAGUUUUCUGCAAACAGUCACUUUGUGCUGAACUUUCUCAAAAAGGUUAAAUAUGUGAUUUCAGCCACGGGGCAAAAGGCUAACUGGUCUCAAAGUCAUAACUAAAGAAUGGUGCCAACAAGUUGAGGCUUGGGGACUUUGCUGCAAUCAAAAGGAAAAUUGAUUACGUGUAGAAAAGGAAAAUCGACUGAAGUGGCUAUCAUAAUCUUUUUUACAUGAGAUUUGUAGUUGUGAUGUUCUUGAGGUUAGUUACGUUAAUUGCUGGCUUUUCUUUGUCAUUGUCCGGUCAACACUCACGCGUAGCAGACACCAUAGACAAAGGAUGUUUCUUAUGCGUUCAGGUCACACAGAAUUUUAUCUUUGCAUUUUUACUUCUGUAAGUAUGUGUUGAAACAUAUAGUAUGUGUGGAACUCAGAAUCAUUUUGUGCACACCUACAACAUCUUGAAACUACUAUCUCCGUCUUGAUUUGCUAGUCCUCCUCGAGUUUUAGGUCAUAUUUUGAUUAUAAUUUGAACUAAUAAAAUAUAAAUUAUAUGUAGCAAAAAUAAUAAUAAUAAACCUAUAUUCAAAUAAGAUCUAAUGAUAUAACUUUUUAUGACAUGUUUUAAUAUUUUGAUAGUAAAAUAUGUGGUCAACUUUUAACCUUAAAUACAAUGGGACUAAUAAACCGAGACGAACCCAGACGAAGGCAGCACAGAUAUACUCCCUCCGUCCGUGAAUAGGUGUACUUCUAGCUUUUGUCCUAGGUCAAAGUUUUAGAACUUUGACCAACUUUAUAGAAAAAAGUACUAGCAUUUAUGACACUAAAUUAAUAUCACUAGAUCUAUUUUGAAAUGUACUUUCAUAAUAUAUUAAUUUGAUGUCAUAUAUGUUAUUACUCUUUUGUAUAUAGUUGUUCAAAAUUACAAAACUUUGACUUAAGACAAAAGCUAGAAUUACAAGGAGUACGCAGCAUAUUCUCAACAGAUGCGUUGACCGCUGAAAUCGUUGACUGACAGCAAGCUUGCCGAUACCCUGGCAACCCUGCUAUACCGAACUCUGCGACAGGCACGGGACAGCCAGUCACCCUGUUUGUCCAGUGGACUUCCAACUCCAGUCUGACUUCAUCUCCUUCCGAAAAUCAAACAAGCAGCAGAAAUGCAGGGGUAGAAGCUCACGCCAUGUCCAAAUCCAAAUCCAAAUAGCUUCGCCUCCCAUAGGUGGAGGCGGCUACUCCGAUAGAAGGAGAAGGAAGCAAAGGAGGGAGGCAGCAGAACUGCAGAAGCACCAUGGUUUCCCUCUGUAAGUACCACACCAUGGCCUCUCUCUCUCUCUCUCUCUCUCUCUCUCUCUCUCUCUCUCUCUCUCUCUCUCUCUCUCUCUCUCAUACUCCGUAGAAUAGUGCAUAGAUUUGAUGUAAGUUAGCGCCGAUGUAUGCUUUUAAUCUCGACUUGAUCUGAAUUUUAAUCUUUGACAUAAGCUAAGCUCGACUUGAUCUGAAUUUGAUGAUCUUACUAUUUUGAAUCUUGGAGUAGCGUAACUUCAUAUGACAAAGAUGGAUUCUGUAUCAAAUUAGUUCGUCAGACUCUUUAGUACUAAUACUACUUAGUUUCAAGAUCCUGUAAACUGAAUGCAUUCUCUGACAGGGCACGCCUCCGUCAUUGUCCUUGUGCUCAUAUUCCUCGGAGGAUCCGAUGCCAACCCAGCUGCGCGUCGACACGGUCAGCUGGAUGUAAACCACAAGAAGAAGCCACUACAGACAUCCAGACCUUACAACAUUGCCCACAGGGGUUCCAAUGGCGAAAUACCCGAAGAGACAGCUGUGGCAUAUUUGGUAACCAGCAAAUUACUCAUGCAAUUAUCUGUCCUUCCUUCUAUGCUGGAUCAGAUUUAGAUUGAUAUUUUCUAGUGUUACGUCAAAUUCAGCUGUAUUGAUUAUUUAUGCUUUUUUUUUACAUCAGAAUUGAUUAUUUACGCUAAUAAUCGACAAUAACCAAGAAGGUUAUAAUCUACUUGUUACUAUUUAUUUAUUAUAUUAAUAUUAUGUACUAUUUAUUUAUAUUAUAUCUCUACUUCUAAUGGAGCAGUUGGUAGUCUUCGCCGGUUAAAUUUCGUCCCACCUCCCCUGAUUUUUUUUGGUACUUCGUCCCACCUCCCGCUUUCCACCGUCUCCCCGCAACUUACCGCCCAACCGGUAAAAAAACAUCAAAAUACAACUACGCCCAUACUGAACCGCGCCGGUUCACAGAUAGAAAAAAGACCUAAAAUGAUCUAACACGGUUAACCUACGAAAUGACAGCUGAUCGAUCUGAAACAGGACCCCUAGGACCAGAAAAUCGUCAUGCCCUCGAUGCCAUUGCGAGUCGCGGUCAUUCGUCCACGCCCCUCAAACCCUUGACCGCCGUCACAAACCCUGAAACCCUUGUCCGCCGCCACAAGCGCUCAUACCGUAGGUCUCCUUCACAGGGUGAAGUUUUUUCCCGGCGCCGCCGCCGUCCGAGAGGUGGGACGAAAGAUCUUCCGGCGCCGAUCCGUCACUGUUCAGCGGAUCUGCGUGUGAUCCAGUCGCCGCCGUAGUGGCGAUUGCAAAAUCAGGUUGGGCGUUUAUGUAUUAUAACCUUUACAAAUACUACUCUUACAAAUCUUCGUCUCUGAUCGGUACCGUGGUCAUACUGCACAAAAUCUGACAUUGUGAUCUCGGAUCGGUACCGUGGUCAUACUGUGUAAGAUUUGAGAACCUGUAAUUAAAAAAUACAUAUUCCGUCACCAUUCUAUGCAGAAUUGUAGAAUUACAGCUAACUGGAUUAUAUGCCGAGGCCAUACCUCUUGCUCUCAUUUUAUCAGCCCGAAAAUCGUGCAGGUCGUGAAUCAUCUCAUUGCCGGUUUCAGUAUUGCAAGGAACUCAGUUUUCGUGCACAUAACUGACAGGAGUUUGGGGCUGGCGCCGGCCGUCGGGGACGGUGUCAUCAGCAGUAGCAUCUGGAGGUUAGGUGACAUGCAAUAGUUAAUGUUUCUAUGCCAACAGGAAAUAGGCAAUGUUUCUAUGCCUAGGUGAGCAUCAGAUGGUUGAAAAUGAUUGAGUCCAACUACAGUCUGGACCUAUAAAAGAAUAAUGCCAUCCUCCCAGAUGAACCACCGUUUUGAAUGGGAAAUAAAAUCAUUCAUGAAUGUUUGCCAAGGGCAUACCUGUUUUACUCUAUUUGACAGCCCCAAAUGAUUGCAGGUGGUGAAUCAUCUCAUUGCUGGUUUAAGUGUAGUCAUCAAGUGGCAACAGGCAUCUAUUUUACCAAUAAUUUUGCAAGUAUCUCAGUGACGGCCCUUGGGGACGGUGUCAUCAGCAGCAGCAUCUGGCAAGCGCAUCGAGUUUGCAGCUCACAACUUCAUAGGAUCUCCAUUUUCCAGCCCCAAAACAGCAUCACAUGCGAAAAGUGACACAAACAUAAAGUAGUUAUGACACUUGAAUCUAAUAGGUUCCAUGCAAUAUUAAACAGUCAAGGUUUAUAUGUCAUCAGGAAAUAGCCAAGGGUCUGAAUAUAGAAAAUAAUAAGGUAAAAAAACUUGAUCCUCCCAGAUGAACCACCUGGAGCAUUAUGUGAAAUAAAACCAUUCAUCAAUUUAUAUACGACGCCGUAACCAACCAUUUUUUCAUGUUGGUCAGAUAGAAUUUAUGUGGGAUUCAAUAUAUAGGCGCCGCGUCCCUUCCCUCAAGAUUGGCCUCAUGAACUUUCAGUAAGCGCUAAUUAUAAUAUGAGAUCAUCAUAUGCUUCUUUUUGUAAUUCUACUGUUGCAAUGUUACUCACAUUUGUAUUUGUUUGUAGACGGCAGAUAAUUUUCUUACGUGUACGUGAAGAGCACGUUGGGCCUAACUUCUGGCAUUUGCAAUGCACUGACAACCUGUUCGAGAAGUUUGCUGUAACUUACAUACAGGUAAAUCAGAGGCAGCGUUGCUUGCAAACUAUGAGGGAGAGCACAUUCUUCUUCUCUCCCAACAUUAAUGAUGAUCAUCAUUAUCUACAAGGUAGGGGUUGCGUUCUAUUUUAAAAUUGUUUUCAAUAUUUUUUUUCUGUAAUACUAUUUCACUACUAUAUAAGACUGAUUGUUAUCGUAGAUAUCCAUGAAGCCAGCCUGACGACACUUGAUGAAACACGUGCUUACGUCAAUCGUGUUGUUCAAGGUAGGAACAAUGGACGUCAGAACUAUCACAGUCGAAAUUAGAGCAUCCUUGAGGGUUUUGGACGACUGACUAUGUACUGAUGCAUAUUCAAAUGUCGCAAAUAAAUGGCUUCUACAGUUUUGUUAUGGAUUGAAUUGAGAAUUAUCAUUUUGGCAUUAUGAUUAAUGUAUUAUACAUAUAUAUACCUUCAUAAUACGCAGUGUUCAGUAUUUCGUCUUACGCCGUCGUCCUUUAUCCGUCUCUCCCCCACCAUUCCUUUUUUCACACAAGCCAGGAAAGGAAACAGCAGACGCACGCAAUAGUUUUUUUAUUGGAAUACCUGACUAAGUCCUCUUCCCCUCGUGCGAUCCCAACACAGGCAUGAUCCUGGGAUAACAACACGCGCACCCACGCCUCCGCCGACGCAUGUUUGGCCCCAUCUGCCCGAGUCCUCUGGUCCAUGUUCUCCCUUUCUUAUCCCUCCUCCAUUUAUGCCUUAUCGAUCCUAACAUGAUGGUUCGCGAACGGCGCGCAUAUAAGGAUUAUGUUGAAGUUGGAAUAUAUACCAAACAAUAGUUGCUUCAUUUUUACCUUUACGACUUUUACGUUUCUCAUGACUAUGAUCAUUAUAAACUCUUACUUGAUCUUCAAAGACUUGCGGGAAUAAAAGGCCAAUGUGCGGUGUUUCAUGCACUAUCAUAUUGUGACUAGACUCACUACAGCUGUAUUUUAUUGAUCAAUUAAACUAUAGACAUAAUUUGCGGGAAUAUUUCUUUGUAGAAGGCUUUCUAUGUGUAUCUGUAGAGCUUAACUAGAUGUGUCUUAGUUAUUCCACGUUCAUACGAGGCACUCAAACAUAAAACCAAAUGAAAACGCUACCCACACCAAUUACAUGUGAUUUAGAUGUGCAAUAUAUACUACUUAAAACACAUCUAGACGUGCAUCGGCAAAAACGAGGUUUUAUAACUCAAAAUUUUCUCUCCAUGGAGAUAUACCCGUGCGUUAAGAAUAUGGAUCAAUACAUGUAAAAGAAGUGGGCUGUAGUAUCAUAAUUCAAUUAAGGGUAAAGAUAUAGAUUAUUCCACAUGGUAUAGGUUAUAUUAUGUUAUAUGUACCCCGUUGCAACACACAGGCGCCUAUGGAUCAUAUCAUCAUGUCUACAGUUUUUGUUAUGGCAACUUGUAAUUAUGGAAGGAUAUGGACCACCUUCCGAGUACAUGACAACGAUUACUUAAAGUUUCCAAUACAAUGUAGUAUCCAAUCUAACGGUGUGGCCUACCAUACGUUCAAUGGGUUUCCCAUUUUAGCCAUUAAUUUUCCCUUAGUCGGAUUUGCUUAUAAGGAAAGUUAAAUCCUGCUUGUUCCGAUCUGUAAAGGGAGACGUAUAUAAUAGAAUUAUAAUCGGCGUUUAUUUAUUUGCCCAUUGUAGUAUGGAAUAAGAAUAAAUGCUUUUCCAUUUAGAUGCAAGGUUUUAUAAUGGAUACAUGCACGGAUGGAAUGAUAUCGGCACCUUCCAAUCCAAUGCUAAUGCCUCACCGACCUUUUAGAAGGACAAGUCCCCUCCGACUAUCAUAUAUAUGGCCCGACUGUGAGUCCACCAUUGUCUAAUGCCCCCUCGCUCGCUCAUCCUGGUGCUAAGAUGACUUUCUGCCCGCGGUAAUGGCUGCAAUGCCGAUUUUUGAUGGAGUGGAUGACGCAGUCGAGUACAUCUACAACUACGUCAUGGAUUCCUCAGACGAGGAGGAAUUAGAGUUUGUUCUGGCAGCGCUAAACUUCAUCUAUACUUUAAUUGCAAUUGUUAGCUGCAGAUCACUACCAUUAUAAUUUGUUGCAUGCAUUUACUGAAAGUUCAUGCUAUCCUUUCUAAAUACAUAAGGUUCUUAAGAUCUAACGUAGUGGUUGCAAAUAAAUGGCCAUGUUGUAAUAUUAUCCUUUUACAUUACCCCAUUAUAGGACCAUCCACCCCACGUUAUUUUAAAGUACAAUAUUUUUAUGAACGGUAGUACAUUGCAACGCGUACUGUUGCAUGAUACAUGUGCCAUCUACACAUUAGUUCAUAACUGUAAUACUAUAGCAAUACAUUGCAUCCGAACAUGUCAGGAUAUAUUUGGUUAUCUCAAUAAAUAGUACUCCUAUCCUGAAUUGACACUACGAUUCCAAUUAGAAUAUACAUACAUUUCAGACCUUACUAAAGUUUGGAAAAAAAUGUAUUAUUAUUUGCCCACACAUUGAAGUAUUACAUUAUUUUGAUACCCUUAUUUUUCUAACAGAUUUGCUAUCAUGCUGUCUUGUUUGCAGCACAAUAUGGAUAAGGAGCCCUCGUCCAUUCGUUAUCGAGUUAAGCCUACGGACUAUCCAAGACACCAUGCGAGGUGAUACAUGGGUCAAUCCGAACUGCUUCGAUCUUGCAGUGCGUAAGCUUACUAGCGACGCGAUACAGAGGAAUGCAGGAACAGACUUUGUUGGCUCCACGCAUACGUUUGAUUUGCGAUUCCAUCGCCUAGCACGGGUGCUGAUUCAGACUGGCUUAGGCCAAGCUGAACGCACCAACUUGUUGAUUAACAAUGUCAUUGUACGGCCUUUGCCGAAAUACGACAUGCUCAUGACCCCGUCCAUUGUAAGGAUUUACAUUCUUAACAAUUGGUUUGUAUACUAUCUGUUCACCAUUAACUUUGUAUACCUAUUGCAGUACCUAUUGCCAUUGUAUUUGGUGGAUUCCUCCUACGGCCUCCUUGCAGUUAAUAUUGAAAAUAGGAGGACUCUCCUGAUUGAUCAUUCCAAUGAGUCAUUCUUAGGCUCAGAGGAUUUUCAUAACAAGGAACUUAAGAAGGAAGCCCGUAUAGUUUUGCAAGAAUUCGGCAGUGUGUUGCAACAGGGGAGGCCUGGUUUGAAUCCCCAUCUCGUGGAUUGGCCACAAGAUCAUACAUUUAUUACAGCCCCGCGGUAAUUUUUUAAAUUGGUCAUGCAUAUUAUAGCCACACAGCUAUAGGUUCUAAUAUAUGUAGACUUUUGGUCACAGCCUAGAUUCUAGAUUGAAAGUCCUACAGGAGAUGGCUCACCAAGAUGAUACUCGCGGGCAUAACAUGUCCAGGACUUCGGUACGUGCAUAUCUAACAAGUUUAUGUCUCCCAUAGCUAUGCUAAUUAUAAUUUUAUGUUCUUCCUAUCAUGUAUGUCCGUUGUGCAAUUAUUUUUUCAACGAGUUAUUAAAUUUUUGUUUAUGUUUUCUAGGAUUCAAUACAGCUCAGAAAGCACUUGCUGGUCCAGAUACUGAUGAUCAAAGGCAAUGAAGCAGCUGGAAACAUCCCAGCUGAAAUUACAGCGUCCUUGAGGUUUUUGGAUGAAUGACUCCGGACUGAUGCAUACUCAUAUGUCGCAAAUAUAAUAAGCUAAUAGAACUUUGGUAGGGAUCAAAUUGAGAUUUAUGUUUUUGGCAAUAUGAAUAAUGUAUUGGAUUACAGUGAAUAAAGGAUUUGAUGGAUCCCUCUAGCUUCCUUUUUGCUUCAACGUUGUCUGCUUGUUUUGGUUCUAUCUAUUAAUUUUGACUUCUAUGUAUAUUUUGUACUAUAACACUUGUGGCCACAGGAGCAGGUUUGUUGCUCCAGGUGAACCGGUGGCAUUUUGUAAUGGACCAUGGCAGGUUCAGCCGGCAUGCGAGGUUUACAGUCAUGCCUCACAUCAUAUACUAACUCGUAGCGUAUAACUCCAUCCAUACACACACUGCUAUACGAUACGAGGUUUACAUUGGCGGCCAUCCUCACAUGCAAUUUAUGGAAUAGCCAAUUUAAAAACAUGCUGGAUAUAAUGGACGUACCUUCAAUUGCCUUUGAUCUUCAAGUUCGCACAUGAUCCACAUAUCUCUGUCAUGCUCAUGAUGUCUCUGAUAACCAGCUGAUUAAAUUGUAUGUGCUCCUGAUUAGAGUAACCAACAUAAGCCCCUUCCAAAGUGCUUUCUUAUUGACUAUAUAAAGUACAAGACGGUGACAGCAUAUUUCGACAAACAGUAUACGUUACCAACAUUUUCAAAUUUGUGGUGGGGGGGGGGGGUUGGUGUUGGGUGGUAGAAUAAAACGUUUGUGUUGUAUGGAUGAACUUUCUCUAAACAUAAUAGCCAUAUAUACCUACCUAUCACGUUAAAUAACAAUAAAAUAAAGGAGGCACUAAUGACUGAAUAAGAGGACGAAAAAAUGUGCAUAUGCAUCUCAAUAGGUAUCAAGGUUGCCCCUGAUUGUAGAUUUGUAAUGGACUCAAGUUAUUAAAAUGUUGUGGAUCUUACUCUUACAUGAGAAGGCAUGGCUGCCCCUGAUUGUAGAUUCACCAAGGUUAGGUUGGUAAAUGAACACAUUUACACUAAAAACAGAAAUAUGUAAUACGAUACAUUAGUAUCAAGGAAUUCCCAUGUUACCAUCAGCACGACGAGUUCCAGAAAGAAGAAAAAAAUCUCAUACCAGUCUAACGGGAUGUAUUAUAAUAGCUUCAUGUUAAAUGUCUUGUAAAGUGAGUUCAUAUGCAGUCGAACGGGAUGUAUAAUAAAAGCUGCCAGAUCAAAACAUCAAAAGAUAACUACAAUGAGAUUAUAUACAGUCAACCAAACAAGUGACAUAAAAAGGCCAAAGCAUUAUUUUUCAGUGAGAAAAUAAGUGAACAAAAAAACAUUAUAAUUUCACUUUUACAACUUUAAUAUUUUAAUAGACAAAUCACAGAUUGUAUCUAUUGCAUUUUUUAUAUGUGAAAAUUGUAUACAUAGUAAAAACUAUUUUGUAACUUAAAGAAAUACUAAAGAAACAAAAUUGUUUUAAGCAUGUUUGGAUCUUUUACAUCUUCUCUGAUUUAUUAGCAGACGUACUCCGUUGCAAUCCUUCGGUGUAUAGAUUAAUAUGAGUUAAUAAAUUAAAUAUUUCAUUUGCCUGUGAUAGAAAAAUAAGAUUGUAUUAAAUCUAGAGAUAUGAUUACCCUAAUAAAGAUAUAAUGCUUGUACAUACAGACGACCACGGGGAGGAGGAAAAGGAAGUUUCUUUUAUUUCCUUUUCUGUUGUAUUCACAGACAAAGUGGGCUGAAAUAAUGUAACCGGGAAUAUAUUAUCUGAUACUGGGAGAAAGAUCAGAUCAGUCCACAAGUUAUAAUAUGUUAUACAUGGAAAUGAAUAACUGCUUUAAUUAAACGACGUUGAUCAUUUGGAAGGCAAUAUCAACUCUCCAAUUUAUUAGAUGUCACGGUAACAAAAUGAUAAACUCCAUCUGCCUACUAUUUAACCACCCACCCAAGUUCACAUAUAUCCCAUCAGCAAUGUCCGAUCGAGAACUAAGGAACUAAUUUUCUAUCCAAUGGAGACGAUCAUUGGGAACGCUACACACGCACCCGAAGAGGGUGCGUCUGUGGCCCAGGAGGAUGUUCCCGGUCCCCAGGAGGAUGUGCCUGCACCCAUGGAUGUUUUGCCCCCAUUAAUGCAUGCCGUGGAAGAUGCACUCCAAUACAUAUUUCACUAUAUCAUGGGCAUUCGAGACCAAGAUACAUUAAAGUAAGUUGUCUUAUUAUACAUUCUUUUACUAUAUACAAAUAAUGUUGGAAAACUCUUUUACACAGCAAGGAAAGAUAGCUAGAUGGGCAAUCUUAAAACAUUCAUAGGUACAUGUAUACGUUUUUUAGUUGAAUCCGACGCUACAUGAACAAUGACAUGCAAAGCCCAUGAAUUAAGGUUCUAGAUUUGAUACGUGUAGGUACAUCUAGGUGAGGACAAUCUGACCUCAUGCAGUGUCAUGCAAUCUAAACAUGAAUUCGGUUUAUAGGUUAGUAUAGACAAAGUUAAACUAGAAGAUGACCAUUGAUGUCUUUUGUUGGGCAUUUUUUCAGCUUAACAUGGACAAGAAGCUCCCGGCCGUACCAAAUCGACAUCAGCCUCCGAAUGAUCCAGGACACCCUUUUUUUCAUAAAAAACUUCACCCGAAUGCUUCAACCUUGUUGUACGUAAGCUUGCGAGCGCUGAAUUAGAGAGGACCGCAGGCACUAACUGGGUUGGGAGCAAACAUUAUUUCGACUUGCAGUUUCAUGCUCAGUCACAGGCCCUGAGGUACUCCUAGAUGACUCAAGGAGAGCGCAUCACGACGCUGAUUAACUAUGUUGUGGUCCAGCCUCUUCCUAAAUAUGAUGUGUUCAACUCUAUAAUUGUAAGAGACGCUCAUUCUUAAAGUUAGUUUUACUUAUUAUAAUAGCAGUUGACAUGUGUCGACCUGCCACGGUAUCUACUACCAUUGAAACUUUCGGAUUCGUCGUACGGGUUACUUGUAGUCAACCGGUUGAGGAGGAGGGUUGUCGUGAUGGAUCCAUCCUUCAACACGUUUGAUCCUGAAGAUAGCACUCAUAACAUAUUGAUGAGGAAGGAAAUCACACUGCUGAAGGAAGAAUUCAACACUGUGUUGCAGACUAGGAUCGCUGGUUGGAAUAACCAAAUCAUGGAUUGGGAACAAGAUACCAUGUCCUGUGCUGCUCGUCGGUAAUAUACUAAAUUGAUCGCAUACAUAAGAUGCAGACCGUUAUAAUGUUUAAUAUUUAUUUAUUUUGUCGCAGCAAACACUCUGGCUUCUUUGUGCUACAGGAGAUGGCUCACCAGAUUGGUCGUUUGCGUAGCAUGGGCUGGAUGAACACUACCGUAAAUACAUAAAUGAUUAGUUGAUGUGUGCUAAUUAAUAUCCAACCAGUUUAUUAAAUGAUUUGAGUUUUUGCACCUUUCCUAGGAUCCUAUACAGCUCAGACACCAAGCUACGGUCCACAUGUUACUGUUCAAAGACAAUGAAGCUGCUGCAAACAUCCCGCCAGAGAUUAGAGCGGCCCUGAGGGUUUUAAGCAACUGAAGAUGGACUGAUGCAUGCAGAUAUGCCAAGAAUGUUUUCCUAUACUUCAGAUUUGUUAUGGAUCGUUUUGAUAAUUUUUUUUGAUAUGAAUAAUUAGAUAAUAAGUUUGUGGGGUCCUCUAUAGACGUAUGUUCAAAAAGAUUAGGAUGUUUUGGUAUUAUCAACCUAUUCAAACUUUAUGGUGUUUUGGUAUUAUUGAAGUUUGGUUUUAUUACCAUAUUGUUGGAUUAUUAAUUGAUUUUGUUGCAAUGUCAUGAACGAAUCAUUCGGUUGUCUGCCAUGAAUGAGCAUGUAGCUCCAUUUGGGAAGCUGGACAGGGGUAAUAGGGCUUGACGCUAGAUGAGAUGAGCAGCCAGAGUUUAAUGUUUUUCACAUACUAGGCAAAUGCAUGUGUGUGCACAGGAUAUUUACAUCCUUCGGCGGCAGCAUUGUGCCUUCAACUAUUUCUGCACCUACUGUCAUUUUCCUCGAAGAUGUACAAAGCGGGUGUCAUAUUCCCCCGCCGUUAGAAGAUCAAUUCACGAAAAAUUCUUCCGAGGAUCACUCCCAUUGCCGAUCUUCCCGAUUAGAUCCUCGUGCCCCUCUCCCGAUCGCUGCUCUUUCCCUAAAACCCCCCACUGGUUUCCAGCGCCUCCAACCACAACUAACUCUCGCCCCCACCGCUCAGGUCGCUUACGGCAAACCGAAGAAGGAUGUGGAGGCGGACGUGGGUUAGAUAUGGAUCAUUAUUGUCUUGGACGUCGACGAGCGGUCAUUGAUGGGGCGGGGGUGGCGCAUCAGGAGUUAUCCUUCUUCCUCCAUUAUCAUAUUCCACUCGCUUGCCGGUACCAUGCGCCUCUCCCUCGCCCUUUGUUUUGACCUCUGCCACGCUAGGAAUUUGAGAUGUGCAGGAAUACUAUAAGGAAGAAGAGAACGAGCAAGAAGCCGAGGUAUUGGGUAGAGCAUCCGGGUCGAGUGUAGGUCUUAGCCACGCUUCAUGGUGCAGGUGAAGAUAAAUUCAGCCAUUUCCUCGGACAGGCUUUGCUCUGUCGGCGACGCGGUCAGAGAGCAUAUGGCAGGAGCGCGCGGCCGGCCUGCUGUAUGCAGUUGGUGCCUUGGUGUGCAGUGGCACGACUGCGCGCGAGCAUGGUGAUGGGUUUCGUGUAAGGGCGUGAAGCAUGCGUUUUGUCGUGCUGCCGGUUGUGCUCUGCUCUGCUCACGGAGGAUGCAGAGGGGUUGGUGGCUUUGGCGCUGGGAAGAGGAAGCUCGUUGUGAUCUAUCUUGUGGUUCAGAGAAUAUACUGUGUAGCCUGUACUAUUCCUCUAUGUCUUCCUUCCUGCUAAUUCCUCUGUCUAUUACAGUUAUUUCCUGAUUAUUUGUGUGCACAGAUCGAAAUAACAAUAGCAAGGAAAACUUGGAAUAUGUGGGACCAUGACUAAACUCGAUCUGUUUAUCUCCCUCUCAAGUUACAGUUUGGUUUGUACUUUUUUGGGGGAGCUAAUGUCGAUUUGUAGUGAUUAAUCAUCCAUUUGAUUGAAAGUUCAGGUGGUCUUGGGGAUCUCUAGGUGGCAGAAGAUAGACAUUUGGUGCCUUUUUGUUGCAAAUAUUUCUAGGUUGCUAGGUAGGCCAAGAUUUCUCAACUUGCUGCAAUAUUCAGUUGUUGUAUGUGGUCCUAGGCUCACACGAAAUGCUGAAUCAUAGCAGUGAAUGUAAGUUUUAUUCCAUGUAUAGUACGUAGCAGAUUUAUAGCUUAAUAUACUUGUAUAAAUCCUACAACUCCCACAUUAACACACGAGCAGCCCUAAAUAGUAAAGUCCAUCCACGAUAUGUCAAAAGAUCCAUAAAGUCAUGAAUUAUAUUUGGCAAAAAAAACUAUAGGUAAAUAUAACGUCAAUUCGUACUGAUCAACAUCAACGCUAAAAUAAAAAGUUGAUUCCAUAAAUCCACAAUUAGUAUUGGUUACCUUUGGCAUUGGGAAACCAUGGAUAAUCUGGAAUUGACAGCAUUCAUCGAACUUGUGUGGUCUCUCAGAUAUUACAACUGCAACAAGUAUAAUGAGACUGUACAUUACUACCAAAUUAUUGAAUGAAGUAUUAGUACAAACUGUUAAAUCAUACAAAAAUAGCUAAGCAUGAAGAUGAUUAGUGUGCAUGCUGUGAUUUUUGUUUGCUGUAGCUAAAUUUGGCAUGCAAGCAAUGAAAAUCUUUUUAUUUAAUUAAUACAAUAAUUUAAUUCUUUAGACAGUUAUGAUUAUUUAGUUAUUUGCUUAUUUAUUAACAGGUGUGCAUUUGAUGGAAAAAGAAAAGAGAUCUGCACCAUCAAAAAUGGUAUAUAUGGUAGAAAACAUUGUUAUAUAUGGUAGAACUAUAUUCAGCCAUGAUCUGCUACCCAGUUAUUCUCCGAAUGUCCUACCUAUAUAUGUUAACCUUCUCUGCCAUCCCUCCUCCCCCUCCUUGCUCUUCCUUCGGCCAUCACAAUAGCUGACCUGGACGAAAAUUUCCCAAGGAGUACCUUGUGUAAGCAAGGAGCAUCUUUAAGGCGAGUUCCUCUAGGUACGAACAAUUCUGGAUCUUUAUAUUCUCUAAAAGUGUAAUAGUUGUUAUACUAGGAUCAUGUUUCGUUGAGAUAUACUAUCAAAAGUAUGAUUUAUCUUUCAUUUUCUGUAUGUUCACCUACAAAAGUAUGCAUGCAAUUCUGAACACGUGAUUUUCUUAAGCACAUUAUAUAGCAAAAAAAGCAUGCAUGCAAUUCUUAACAUGGCAGAGAACAAACAAAUAAACAAACACUUAUGAAAAUCUUAAUAUUAUGACAGUCAUAAUAAUAAGUCCUUUCAUGUAAUAAAAUCCCUGUGCGUUGCACCGGUGUACAAAAUGUAAAUCUAUGCUUACACACUUGAAAAAAACUACAAACAAACAACAUUGCAAUCAGUCAAACAGCCAUAUCAGAACAAAUAAUUCAAACAAUUUUGGUUAAAAAUAUUUGUCAAACAUCUAAUACCUUAUAAGUUUGCAAAUCCCGUACCAUUCAUAGGAAACAUACACAUGGAUAUGCUCUUACUUGAUUUUCCACAUCGCAAGUUGAAAUAAUUUUUGUUGUAUCAAAAGUAUUGUGAUAAGAUUUAGGAUCAAAAUUGAUGAAUGAUUUCGGAUUAUGUAGUCAACAAGACAAUACAAAUAUUAGGCAUUGUUGCAUGCCUAAGGCUCAAACCCAAAAAUAGCCAUGCACCCAUAGUGAACAAUAACCAGACAAAUCAUGAGCAAAUUCAUUCAAAAAGAUUGGCUGCAUGUUCUCCAUUUAUAAUUCACAACCAAGAGUCAAGUCAUGGUCGUAGGUAAGUUUCAUAGCAGAGUAUAUAUUGAGCCUUGGCUGGAAAAAUAGUUGGAAACUAAAAAAAAA
rnacentral:lncRNA from 1 species